GGGGAACUAAGAGGAUAAGCUAUGAAAAGCGGGCACUCCAAAGUUUAUGACGUGUGUAAGUAUAGAUAAGGUAAAGGGGGUUGGACACCUCAUGCAUAUACAUAAAGUGUUGAGUGUGAUUAUAACACAGGAUAAAAAGGGUUCCCUUAUAUGGAUAAGGAGGGAAGACCCCCAUCAGGAGAUCCUCCACCAAUGACCACCUACUGAGAGAUCCACCCGACUCCAUGAUAUCUUUGGGGAUAUUCCAUUUUACCUGACAAAAAUAGUCUGAUACAGAACUCAGGACUGCUCUAGUAACUUCUCCUGGAAUGUUGAAGAAUUUUAAUUUUAAAAUUCUACAAAUACCAAGAUAAAAGCACAGAGAGAGAAUGUGUAAAACAAUUACUUGAGGGAUACUAGGAAUUAUUGCGAAGUUUAUUGGAAUACCAGAAUUACUGCAAACCAGAGUUUUGUGCCCAAGGGAAGGUUAUCCAACAGUCCCAGACUGGUGCAGAGGAAAGCUGCAGAAACAGAUUAAUUUUCUUUGCUCAAUAUUUAUUAUUUUUUCAGCUACCUUAAAACGGGAACUGUAAACAUUUUGAUUAAUGGAUUGAAAGGUUGCAUAGUUUCACUGCAGCGCCUGGUCACCGUUCACCACAAGACUGACCUUCUAAGUCUCUGAAACCAACAGCAUCGAGAGGGAAAGAAGACAACACCUGCACCUGGUACCUGUCCUUUGUGAAUCCAAAGACACUUGCCAGUAAGAAGCAGGAGCAAUUUGGGUCAGAACCCUAGAGAAUACGGGUGAAUCAGCCAAUCCAUCUCUGCGCCUAGAGAGCUCUCCUUAAAGUCAGCAGACUCUGAAUCUCUGCAGCAUUGUUCCCCCACCACAUCCAGACAUCAUGGAGGUCUCUUCAUGAGUCCAGAGUCCAUGGAGGGGAAGAGGAUGGAGACCAAGCAAAUCACUGGCAGAUGGGGAACUUAGGCACAGACCUGUGAAUGGACUGAUCUAAAGUCAUAUAGGAAGUCUCUGAAAAGCUGGGACCUUAAUCCACAUCACCAGCAUCCCAGAUCAGAAAGUUAAGCACAGAACUUUGCUUCAAAUCUCAUUACCUGAAAGGCACAGAUAUAGAAGGCUGUACUCCUGAUGGGAAUAUCCAAUAGCAUCUCUGGAUGUGGUUGGAGAAAUCUCGUGUUGCGCUACUAUCUGGUCUCCCUAAUUAAGGGUCUGAUCCAACUCCCAUUAAAGUGAAUGGAAAAUCUUGCAUAGAUGUCAGUGACAGCUGAACUGGACCAAUCUUCCAGUAAACUCAAGAAACUAUUCAUUCCUAAAUGGAAUGAACACAAACAGAAAGUUCAGUAUUACUAUAUCUGGGCUGGUGCACUUGCUCACCAUUGAAUAGCUGGGCUGAUUAGCAGUUUCAUUCCUAAGUACAGAGAAUUGCCGUAAUCAAGACUGACGGUCACAAGUGUGUGAAUCACCAGCUCUGAAACCAAAAGGAGGAGAAGAGUCUUCCUGUGAGAUGGAAAAGGACAUUUUUCACUGCCAGGUCUAUUUGAGUAAUUAAUUUGAAAAAUUCUGUUCUAGACAGGUUCUUUUAGCAUCCUUAUCACCAUAGUAACUGAGCACCUUCCAGUAGUAAAUGCUACUACCAUCUGUCACAUUACUCCUCUUUAAAGAUGUAGUGAAAAGAGCUGCCACAGAUUCUUGGAGAUAUGUGGGGAGGCAGGGAGACCAUGAAUUUUUCUUUACCCUCUCCCCAGCUGCCCCACCGAGCAGCUUUUUGUCCCAACGGGGGGCAAUAACAAAACUGUCUGAGAUUUGGGGAUAGAGAGCAGGGAUACUGACCACGAUCAUCAUGGCUUCAGAGCAUUUCAUGAGCCCUUGAGAAAAACUCCAACUGCUUACAGCAGAGGAGGGAGGAAGUGCAUUGCCAGCCAUGAAGAGGUGCAGUGGUUUGCAUGAUUCCCUAUGCAACAGAAAGUUCUGGGAAGCAUCCUGCUUUUUUAAGUCAGAAUGUCUUUGGUGCUUCUCCUGUCCAGUGUAGUUCUGCACCCAUCCCAGGUCCUAAUCCAAAGCUCAUUAACUGAAUGGAAAGACUCCCAAUGACUUCAGUGAGCUUUGCAUCAGGUCCCCAGUGCAGGACUCUGUGUAAAUGGUACAGCCUAGACCUGAGCUAACAUCCAUGUGCUAAACAUUUUCUUUUCAACCAACAACACAGCCUUUCCUGAAUGCAAUUCAAGAAUGCAAAUAACUAUGAAGAAGCUAACUUAGCUGCAAAACUAGAUAGUCCACAUAUGUUAGCAAAUGUUAACUAUCUCUCUGUUGUACACUUACAACCAGUUCCUUAGCUGCUGUAAAGCAGAGGAGCUCCACUGGGCCAUGCCAGCUUACACAAGCUAAGGAAGUGGCCCAAUAACUCUAGAAUGUUCUAUAAGUACCAUUUACUGUAUACUUUUUGUAUAAUAGAAUUUCAUGUGCUGUUUCACUGACACGAAUAGUGUUAUCUCAGUACGACAAGAUAUAAACAUAUAUCUACAUUUUUAGCAAACAAUUUUUUUGCAUCCUUGGUUGUACUAGGUACUACCUCUCCCACUAGCAUUUAUAUUAAGUAUAACAUAUCAAUACAAUUUAACCUAAUUCAAUUAUAUAAUGGGAUUAUAUUAUAGUGUAGCAGAAAGGUUUUAUUCACAUUCACUUGGAGAUGUCUGCAUACCUCACUUGUGACUUUAUGAAGCCACUUAGGAGUUACACAGGUUAUUUCAAACUCAAGCUAAGAAACCAU